rnacentral:rRNA from 1 species
CCUACGGGAGGCAGCAGUAGGGAAUCUUCCACAAUGGACGAAAGUCUGAUGGAGCAACGCCGCGUGAGUGAAGAAGGGUUUCGGCUCGUAAAGCUCUGUUGGUAGUGAAGAAAGAUAGAGGUAGUAACUGGCCUUUAUUUGAUGGUAAUUACUUAGAAAGUCACGGCUUACUACGUGCCAGCAGCCGCGGUACUACGUAGGUGGCAAGCGUUGUCCGGUUUUAUUGGGCGUAAAGCGAGUGCAGGCGGUUCAAUAAGUCUGAUGUGAAAACCUUGGGCUCAACCGGUGAAUUGCAUCAGAAACUGUUGAACGUGAGUGCAGAAGAGGAGAGUGGAACUCCAUGUGGAGCGGUGGAAUGCGUAGAUAUAUGGAAGAACACCAGUGGCGAAGGCGGCUCUCUGGUCGGCAACUGACGCUGAGGCUCGAAAGCAUGGGGAGCGAACAGGAUUAGAUACCCGAGUAGUC